ensembl:lncRNA
UUCAGCAUCUCCAUAUUCUUCCCACAAUCAUCAAACCUAUCACUCAUCAACAAAUGAAUCUCUAGAAACUUCAGCAACACAGGCAUUUACAGCAUCACCAUCUACUUCACUAGAAUCAUCUACAGAUCACUCAACAUUUGAAUUUCCAGAAACAUCAACACAAAUUAUUACAGCAGUUUCAUAUACUUCCCCAGAAUCAUCAACAUAUCCCUCUUCAAGACCUGAGUCUCCAGAAACUUCAGCAGAAGAAACAGUUACUGCAUCACCAUCUACUUUCUCAGAAUUAUCUACAGAUCACUCAUCAACAAAUGAAUCUGCAGAAACUUCAGCAACACCAUCAGUUACAAUGUCGCCAUCUACUUUUUCAGAAUUAUCUACAGAUCACUUAUCAACAGUUGAAUCUCCAGAAACUUCAGCGACACAAGCAGGGACAGCAGCACCAUGUACAUCACCAGAAUCCACUACAGAUCAGUCAACAACAUCUAAAUCUCCAGAAACGUCGGCAGCACAAGAGUUGGUGCAACACCAUUUACUUUCUCUGAAUUAUCUAUAGAUCACUUAUCAACACUUGAAUAUCCAGAAACUUCAGCGACUCAAGCAGUUACAGCAUCACCAUCAACUUCACCAGAAUCAUCUACAGAUCACUCAACAUCUGAAUCUUCAGAAACAUCAACACAAGUGAUUUCAGCAUCUCCAUAUACCUCUUUACAUUCAACGUAUCACUCAUCAACUCCUGAAUAUCCAGAAACUUCAGCAACACAAGCAGUUACAAUGUCACCACUUACUUCACCAGAAUCAUCUACAGAUCAGUCAUCCACAUCUGAAUUUACAGACAAUUUAUUGACAUCUGAAUCUCCAGGAACUUUAUUCACACCAUUGUUUGCACCAUCAGCUUUUACUUUUGCAGAAUUAUCUACAGAUCAGUCAACAUCUAAAUCUCCAGAAACUUCAGGAACACAAGCAGUUAGUGGAUCACCAUCUACUUUCUCAGAAUUAUCUACAGAUCACUCACCAACCACUGAAUCUCCAGUAACUUCAGCAACACAAGCAGUUACAAUGUCACCAUCUACUUCAACAGAAUCCUAUACAGAUCAGUCAUCAACAUCUGAAUAUCUAGAAUGUUUAUCAACACCAUUGGCUACAGUAUCACAUGUUGUUUCACCAGAAUCAUCUCCAGAUCACUCAACAUCUGAAUCCCCAGAAACGUCAACACAAACAAUUACAGAAUUUCCAUAUACUUCCCCGGAAUCAUCAACAUAUCACUCACCAACAACGGAAUCUCUAGAAACUUCAGCAACACCAUCAGUUACAGCAUCCCUUUAUACUUCCCCAGAAUCUUCUACAGAUCAGUCAUCAACACCUAAAUCUCCCGGAAAUUUAUCAGCACCAUCGGUUAUAGCAUCUAUCGUUCCAGAAUCUUCUACAGAUUUGACCUUGACAUCUUCAGCAAUAAAAGUGAAAACCACUGUAGACUAUCAGUCAACACCGAGAGCUUUCUCUUCAUCAUAUGCAACACAAGAAUCAAGUGUAACAUUUUCAAGUCCAUUAUUUCCAUCUGUACUUUCACCUGCUUCACAAACACCAUCUACCACUGAAAUAUCACCUCCAACUUUAUCAGAUCUGCCCUCAACAUUUGCAUUACUACAAUCAACAGUUAAAAUUUCACCUGCUACAGAUUCACCAUCUCCAGCUCCAACUAUAGCUGUAAUAUCCAUAUCUUCAACUCCCUCCUUUCUAUCAACAAGUAUAGCUCAAUUUACUCCAACCACAUCUUCAACAACCAUUUUUUCACCAACAACUUCUAUUCCAUCAGUAAUUACACUAACAACCACCCCUCCAAGAACAACAACUAGUAAAAAUACCAAAUCAACCACAAUAACCACCCAUCCAAUCACAACAGCACUUACAAUACCAAUAACCAAAACAAAUAACACACUAACCUCCACAGUUCCAGCAACUACCACUAAAAAAAAAAACACAACCACAUUUCCCUCAAGUACCACCACAACACCUUCUGUUUUUGUAGCAUCUACAGCUCCACACUCAACAUCUGUAGCUCCAGCAACAACAGCCACAUCUCCAACAAUAAUGGCCACCAUAAUCAAUGGUCUGAGAACAACUACAACUAUCACAUCCAUCUCUCCAACAACAGCUACCUCUCCAACAACACCCACAACUCUUACAAAUACAGCAAACCCCACCACAACCACUAGUCCAACAAUGCCCCUAAACCUAAUAACUGCAUCUCCAAAAACAACUUCAACCUCUUCUACAGCAACAACUAGCACAUCCAUUUCUUCUACAACCACCUUUCCAACAACACCAACAACAAAUCCAAAUACCACAGCCACCAUCACAACCACUGGUCCAAAAACUAUGACUAUCACAAACAUCUCUCCAACAACACCCAUAACUCCUCCGAACACAGAAACCACCACAACCACUAGUCCAGCAAUGGCAACUCCAACAACAACCAGCAAAACCAUUUCUCUAACCUUCUCUGCAACAACACCCACAAUUCCCACAAGAAUAAAAAGAACAACCACCAUCACAUACACUAAUCCAAUAAUGCCCAUACACAUCAUAUCCACCUCUCCAAAAACAAGUCCUUCAAUAACAACCAGUACAACUGUUUCUCCAGCAACCAUUUCUACAACACCAAUAACUCCUCCAGGUACAGUAAUGUCUCCCACAACCACUAGUCCAACAAUGCCAAUAAACAUCAUAACCACCUCUCCAAAAACAACAACUCCUUAUACAACAAUCAGCACAAUCAUUUCUGCAACAACCACUUCUGCAACAACACCAACAAGUAAUCCAAAUACAACAACUAUCAUCACAACCGCUGGACUGACAACACCUACAUAUAUCACAACCAUCUCUCCAACAACAGCUACCUCUCGAACAACACCCAUAACUCCACCAAAUAUAGCAACCACCACCACAACGACUAGUCUAACAACACCCAUAAACCUAAUAAAUGCCAGUCUAAAAACUAUAGAAGCAACCGGCACAACCAUAUCUCUAGCAACCACCUCUACAACAACUUCUCUAAAUAUAACUACCACCACAACUACUCCAACAAACAUAACCACCUUUCUAAAAACACUUACAACUCCUUCAACAACAACCAGCAAAAGCACAGUUCCAGAAACAACUAUAACCCCUCCAACAACCACCAACAAAACCACCUCUCCACGAACAAUUCAACCACCAACAGCUCCACCAUCAACAAACUCUACAGCAUUUGCUCAAGCAGUGGUUAGGAUGCUAUCUGUCACUGAACUAAGCAAUGACAAAAUCAUUAUCUAUAUAGAGGAGAAGUGGCUGUCGUUCCAAAGCCCUCCAAGAAUACAAUCACAAAAGAGCCAAGGACAACAUCAAAGGACCUACAGGCCUCUCUUGCAUCAAUAAAGGUCACUGUUCAUGACUCCACUAUCAGAAAUACACUGGGCAAAAUGGCAUCCAUGGAAGAUUGGCGAGGUGAAAACCACUGCUAACCCAGAAGAACAUUAAGGCUCAUCUGAAUUUUGCCAAAACACACCUUGAUGAACAUUUUGUGAGACUGUUCUGUGGAUUGAUGAGUCGAAAGUGGAACUGUUUGGAAAACAGGGGUCUCAUUACAUCUGGCAUAAACCAAUUCAACAAAAAGAACAUCGUAUCUAUGGUCAAGCAUGGUGGUUGGGAUGCUUUGCUGCUUCCGGGCCUGGGCAACUUACAGUAAUUGAGGGAAACAUGAAUUCUGCUCUCUACCAGAAAAUCCUAAAGGAGAAUGUCCGGUGUUCAGUCCGUAAAUUGAAACUCAGGCUCAACUGGAUUAUGCAGCAAGACAAUGAUCCAAAGCAUAGGAGUAAGUCCUAGUCCUAGAAGUAAGUGAAAAACUGAUCUCCAGUUAUCGGAAGCAUUUGGUUUCAGUUAUUGCUGUUAAAGGUGGCACAACCAGAUUUUAGGUUUAAGGGGGCAAAUAGUUUUUCACAUAGGUGAUGGGUAUUGGAUUACUUUUUUAUAAAAAUGUUUAUAAAUAAAUUAAAAAUGCCUUUGUUUUACGUUGUAUUUCAUUUGAAGAUCUAAAACUAUUUAGUAUGAGAUAUACACAAAAACAGAAGAAAUCAGCAAGUCGUUUUUCACAGCACUGUAAAUAUUUUACUUUAUUUCUGUUUAUUGCAGUUUUCCAGACUCAUCCAGGCUAAGGUUAAUGGAAACAUUAAGAUUACAGUGAAGAAGAUUCAAAAAGUGACACCUUAAGCAUCACCUUUGGCGAGCAAGUAUUGAACAAUUCUCAUUUCCAUAAAUGAUUGAUGCCAGUCGAAGUUCUGCCAUCUUUUAAUUGUGGAGGUCAUAUGACCAUUAUUUGUCAGCAUUUUUGAAAGGUUAGUUUUUCCCUCAUAUACACUACAACACAAAAAACCUUCAUUUUCAGACAUAUUCCCUUUUGGAGAGCAGUCACAAAAAGAUGCACUUUGGUUGCUAAAAAUGCUGUUUUAUUGCUGAUGGGAAAGCAAAGCAGAUGAGAAAAGAUUUGUGCUUUCAAAUUUAAAAUUUACUGUGUGGACUUGACCUAAAUUGUAAAAAAAAAAAAAAAAAAAAAAAAAAAAAAUUGGGUUAAAAUCCUAAACUUAACAAUAAUUUAUAGUACCCCAAGCCACUACAUUUGACCCCUGCAUGAUUUUGGAUGUACAAGUCAGUAUUCAAAUAAUGCAGGAAGCCGAUAUCUGCAUGAUUUUUCAUUUCAGUGAUUUUAUACCAAAAUCAAAUGAUGUAUAGUAUCAUGAAUGUAUUACCGGGCAUAACACUGCUAUAUGUCACUAUGUCAGUGCAAAUGCACCAUAUUAUCAACUCAGGAUGUCAACUGAUUCAUUAUAGUAACUUUCGCCAAAUAUGUAAGCAUAGUUGUGUUCUGUUAAUAUGAUUCUGUACUGAUAUAAUUUAAAUUCCUGCUGUGUCACACAUAGUAGUCGACUAUGCAAUGUUAUCACAAUAUACAUAUAUAUAUAUAUAUAUAUAUAUAUAUAUAUAUAUAUAUAUAUAUAUAUAUAUAUAUAUAUAUAUAAUAUAUUCUGCAGUGCCAUUAUUCUGUUGGUCAUUACAGUGCCAUUAAAUUAAUAGAAAUAGGUGAAAAACACUCACUCUACAUCAUAGCAAAAAUGCUCUCUCAUACAUCUUACAAAGAGCUUGUAUGUUUGUAACUGAAUAAAAUACCUAUUUAUGUUUUUCUCUAAUAAACCAUGUUUUGACCAUUGACUUUUUUCUUUACUUUGCAUUGCAUUUUAUAAAAUGUACCCCUGCAAUAAUGUUAAUUGCAAACUGGUUAUAGAACCCAGUGGGUAUUAGUUUGGAGUAAAAUU